rnacentral:rRNA from 1 species
AUUGAACGCUGGCGGCAGGCUUAACACAUGCAAGUCGAGCGGGGGAGGUUGCUUCGGUAACUGACCUAGCGGCGGACGGGUGAGUAAUGCUUAGGAAUCUGCCUAUUAGUGGGGGACAACAUUCCGAAAGGGAUGCUAAUACCGCAUACGCCCUACGGGGGAAAGCAGGGGAUCUUCGGACCUUGCGCUAAUAGAUGAGCCUAAGUCGGAUUAGCUAGUUGGUGGGGUAAAGGCCUACCAAGGCGACGAUCUGUAGCGGGUCUGAGAGGAUGAUCCGCCACACUGGGACUGAGACACGGCCCAGACUCCUACGGGAGGCAGCAGUGGGGAAUAUUGGACAAUGGGCGGAAGCCUGAUCCAGCCAUGCCGCGUGUGUGAAGAAGGCCUUUUGGUUGUAAAGCACUUUAAGCGAGGAGGAGGCUACUAGUACUAAUACUACUGGAUAGUGGACGUUACUCGCAGAAUAAGCACCGGCUAACUCUGUGCCAGCCGCCGCCGUAACAC